rnacentral:piRNA from 1 species
GCCAAAUGACUGUAGAUAAGCCCU